rnacentral:rRNA from 1 species
UACGUAGGGGGCAAGCGUUGUCCGGAUUUACUGGGUGUAAAGGGUGCUCAGGUGGUUAUGCAAGUCAGAGGUGAAAUCCUAGGGCUUAACUCUGGAACUGCCUUUGAUACUGCAUAGCUUGUGUACGGAAGAGGCUGAUGGAAUUCCUGGUGUAGCAGUGAAAUGCGUAGAUAUCAGGAAGAACACCAGUGGCGAAGGCGGUCAGCUGGUCCGUUACAGACACUCAAGCACGAAAGCGUGGGGAGCAAACAGG